AGCUCUAACUCAGUGGUACAACAUCUGCUUUGUAUGCAGAAGGUCCCAGGUCCAAUCCUUGGGCAGGGCUG